rnacentral:rRNA from 1 species
UGGGGAAUAUUGCACAAUGGGGGAAACCCUGAUGCAGCGACGCCGCGUGAGCGAAGAAGUACCUCGGUAUGUAAAGCUCUAUCAGCAGGGAAGAAAGUGACAGUACCUGACUAAGAAGCCCCGGCUAACUACGUGCCAGCAGCCGCGGUAAUACGUAGGGGGCAAGCGUUAUCCGGAUUCACUGGGCGUAAAGGGAGCGCAGGCGGCGCGGCAAGUCUGAUGUGAAAGCCCGGGGCUCAACCCCGGGUCUGCAUUGGAAACUGUCGAGCUGGAGUGUCGGAGGGGUAAGCGGAAUUCCUAGUGUAGCGGUGAAAUGCGUAGAUAUUAGGAGGAACACCAGUGGCGAAGGCGGCUUACUGGACGAUGACUGACGCUGAGGCUCGAAAGCGUGGGGAGCAAACAGG